CCUACGGGCGGCAGCAGUAGGGAAUAUUGCUCAAUGGGGGAAACCCUGAAGCAGCAACGCCGCGUGGGGGAUGAAGGUUUUCGGAUUGUAAACUCCUUUUGUUAGAGAAGAUAAUGACGGUAUCUAACGAAUAAGCACCGGCUAACUCCGUGCCAGCAGCCGUGGUAAUACGGAGGGUGCAAGCGUUACUCGGAAUCACUGGGCGUAAAGGGCGCGUAGGCGGGAUAGCAAGUCAGAUGUGAAAUCCUAUGGCUUAACCAUAGAACUGCAUUUGAAACUGUUAUUCUAGAGUAUGGGAGAGGUAGGUGGAAUGCUUGGUGUAGGGGUAAAAUCCGUAGAGAUCAAGAGGAAUACUCAUUGCGAAGGCGACCUGCUAGAACAUCACUGACGCUGAGGCGCGAAAGCGUGGGGAGCAAACAGGAUUAGAUACCCUUGUAGUC
rnacentral:rRNA from 1 species